rnacentral:rRNA from 1 species
CCUACGGGAGGCAGCAGUGGGGAAUAUUGCACAAUGGGGGAAACCCUGAUGCAGCGACGCCGCGUGAGUGAAGAAGUAAUUCGUUAUGUAAAGCUCUAUCAGCAGGGAAGAAAAUGCCGGUACCUGAGUAAGAAGCCCCGGCUAACUACGUGCCAGCAGCCGCGGUAAUACGUAGGGGGCAAGCGUUAUCCGGAUUUACUGGGUGUAAAGGGAGCGUAGACGGCAGUGCAAGUCUGGAGUGAAAGGCGGGGGCUCAACCCCCGGACUGCUCUGGAAACUGGACGGCUUGAGUGCAGGAGAGGUAAGUGGAAUGCCUAGUGUAGCGGUGAAAUGCGUAGAUAUUAGGAGGAACACCAGUGGCGAAGGCGGCUUACUGGACUGUAACUGACGCUGAGGCUCGAAAGCGUGGGGAGCAAACAGGAUUAGAUACCCUUGUAGUC